rnacentral:rRNA from 1 species
UGAGGAAUAUUGGACAAUGGGGGCAACCCUGAUCCAGCCAUGCCGCGUGAGUGAUGAAGGCCUUCGGGUUGUAAAACUCUUUUAGAUGUGACGAUGAUGACGGUAACAUCAGAAAAAGCUCCGGCUAACUUCGUGCCAGCAGCCGCGGUAAUACGAAGGGAGCGAGCGUUGUUCGGAAUCACUGGGCUUAAAGCGUGCGUAGGCGGAUUGGUAAGUAAGAAGUGAAAUCCCAGGGCUUAACCCUGGAACUGCUUUUUAGACUGCCUGUCUGGAAUUCGGUAGAGGUUGGUGGAACUCCUAGUGUAGAGGUGAAAUUCGCAGAUAUUAGGAAGAACACCGGUGGCGAAGGCGACCAACUGGACCGAUAUUGACGCUGAGGCACGAAAGCGUGGGUAGCAAACAG